ensembl:misc_RNA Metazoa_SRP Metazoan signal recognition particle RNA
GCCAGGUGUGGUGGCGCACACCUGUAGUCCCAGCUACUUGGGAGGCUGAGGCAGAAGAAUCGCUUGAACCCAGGAGGCAGAGGUUGCAGUGAGCCGAGAUCAUGCCAUUGCACUCCAGCCUGGAUGACAGAGCGAGAUUCCGUCUCAA